ensembl:lncRNA
CCCCCCCCCCCCCCCCACUCUCUUGCAGGGUCACAAUUUGAAAUACAGGGAUGUUGCAGGAAAGCUGAAAGGCCUACUAAGAGACUGGAGGAUUCGGUUUAUCCCUGAAAACUCAUGAACAGCCGCAUUUGCACACCAAGGUGGCAUACUGAAGGGGUAUCAAGACCAGUUGUGCGACCUAUGAGCUGCUAACGAACAACUGGUCUUGACCCACUACAUUCGCUCACUACCUGCUCAUCAAGCUAAACUGAUCCGUGAAGUAUUCGAAUAUCCAGCGGGUGGUCUCAAUAUUUCAAUCCAGUUGCUUCACUUACUCCAGUGCCAUCGGUCAGCAGUGGAUUAUGCAGUGCAGUUCAGGAUGUUAGUAUCUCAAAGCAGGUGGAAUGAUGGGGCUCUAAAUAUUGUUUUCCAUGAGGGGCUGAAAUACAAACUCAAAGCUGAACUUUCAUGCAAGGGUGAAGAUGCCACUCUUUCAGAAUUCAUUACUAUGGUAAUCAAGAUGGAUAAUCUGCUUCGUAAUGGUCGUCCACAGUCUACAGUCUCAAUACAAGCCCAAGCAUUCCCUGAAUCACCUGAACCCAUGCAGUUUGCAUUCACACGGUUUUCCAAUGAAGACUGCCAAUGCCGACACAAAGAACAUCUCUGCUAUUACUAUGGUGAAUCCUGUCAUCUCAAUGCUUCCUGCCCACACAAGAAAUCUAGUCCACCAGAGUCAAGAUGGAAAGUGAGUACAGCGAAUUUUGUAUCCUCCAAUUACCACAGUUUUUCUUUGCCCGUAGAAGUUUCCAGUAAUGAGAAUGUCAAAUGUAUUACAGCAUUAGUGGAUUCUGGAGCUGCUGUAAAUCUCGUUCAUCAAGAUCUGCUACAAGAACUCAAUAUACGCACAGCACAAUGUAUCGCUUCCAUCAAUAUCCCCACUGUCAACAACACUCCGAUUGGUUCUGGUAUAACACAACAAACUGUUCCUGUAACACUCAGGAUUAGAAUAUUUCAUUAUUUCAUAUUGAAAACAUCUUUCUAUAUGUCAUUAACUCUCCCAAACAUGCUAUCAUCUUGGGCCAUCCCUGGCUGGCCAUCCACAAUCCAUCGAUCUCCUGGAACCAGGGAGAGCUGGUCAGAUUUUUGUCAAGAACAUUGUCUUCAUGUCACUGUUGCCAUGUCAUGUUUAACCACCAGCACAGAAAGUGUUUAGUAAGGCCAAAGCCACACAACUUGCCCCUCAUCUCCUUUGAGACUGUCAUUGAGCUGUUACCCAACACGGACCCACUGAAAAGUAAAGCUUACCCAUUGUCACGACCCAAAGCUCUAGCCCUGGUAACUUACAUUGAAGAAGCUCUUGCCUCUGGUUUCAUUCGUCCAUCCAGCCCUCCUGCAGCAGCUGGCUUUUUCUUUGUGGAAAAAAACCAUGGAAGACUACGCCCAUGCAUUGACUACCGAGGUUUGAACACAGUCAUGGUUAAAUAUCGCUACCCACUGCCACUCAUCCCUUCAGCACUAGAACAACUCCAUGAGGCACAAAUCUAUACUAAGCUUGAUCUAAGAAGUGUAUACAACCAUGUCAGGAUUAGAGAAGGGGAUGAGUGGAAGACUGCAUUUAUCACCACUAGGGGGCACUAUAAAUAUCUAGUGAUACCAUAUGAGAUUUUCAGAGAUCUACUGAACCACUGUGUAGUGGCUUACAUCGACAACAUCCUCAUCUACUCACAGAGCAAGGAGGAAGAUGUCAAGCAUGUCAAGACAGUCCUGUCAUGUCUUCAGAAACACCAACUAUAUAUCAAGGCAAAGAAAUGAGAGUUUUAUACUUACCACUGUCUUUGGUUACAAUAUCAGCCACCAGGGUGUCGAGAUGGAUGUCACAAAGGUCACAGAAUGGCCAAGACCAAACAUUGUGAAAGAACUGCAAUGAUUCCUGGGCUUCGCUAACUUUUAUCGUCGCUUCAUACACAACUGCAGCAUCAUUGCAGCUCCACUCACAUCACUGCUGAAUGGCAAACCCUCCAAGUUACCAUGGAAUGAUGCAGCCAACCAUGCCUUAAUCUCCCUAAAAUCCAGCUUCACAACUGCUCCCAUACUCAAACACCCAGAUCCCAAUCUCCCCUUCGUCAUUGAGGUUAACUCCUCAGAUUGUGGAAUAGGAGCAGUCCUAUCCCAACGUCAUGGCACCAGGAAAACUCUACCCUUGUGCAUUAUUUUCAAGAAAAUUGAUCUCAGCAGAACGCAACUAUGAUGUGGGAAUAAGGAACUGUUAUUAAUGAAGGCAGCAUUAGAAGAAUGGCAUCACUGGUUAGAGGGUGGAGUUCAUCCAUUCCAAGUCAUCACGGACCAUAAAAACCUUGAAUACAUCAAGGGAGCUAAAAGACUGAGUCCACGCCAAGCCUGAUGGUCAGUGUUUUUUUCACCCGAUUCAAUUUCACAUUCACUUACCGCCCUGGUAGCAAAAGUAGCGAAGCAGGUGGACUUUCAUGCAAGCAUGAUCCUCCCCAUGCACAACCUCACCCUGAAUGCAUACUUCCACCAUUAGUCAUCAUUGCAACCAUCAGCUGGGACAUCACGGAGGAAAUACAAUGAGCACAACAGGAUGAACCAUCACCACCUAACUGCCCCCAUUCCAAGCACUAUGCUCCUAAGGCCGUACAUCAAAGAACCAUUCAGUGGGUCCACGCUUCAUUGAGCAUGGGACACCCUGGUAUCCAGAGGACAAUCACGCUUGUAUGCAACUCGUUCUGGUGGCCAAUCUGAUUUCUGAUUAUGUGAAAGCUUGUCAAAUCUGUGCUCAGUCCAAAACAUCUAAGGAACUGCCAGCAGAUUUAUUCCUGCCUCUGCCAAUACCCCAAGGACCAUGGUCCCACCCCUCCAUAGAUUUUGUCACCGACAUGCCAAACUCCAGCGGAUUCACCACAAUUCUGGUGAUCAUAGACCGCUUCUCAAAAUCUUGCAGACUUGUUCCUCUCAAGGGUUUACCCACUGCAAUGGAAACUGCUAGCGCUUUGUUUCACCAAGUGUUCAAGGUCAAUGGAUUGCCAGAAGACAUCAACACAGAUUGAGGGUCAAAGUUCAUGUCCCGGGUCUGGCAAGCGUUCUGUAGGCAGUUGGAUAUCAACGUGAGUCUCACAUGAGGCUAUCAUCCCCAAGCCAAUGAACAGGUGGAACGUCUGAACCAGGAGAUUGGCAGAUACCUUCGGACCUAUUGCAGCCGUGAGCAGGAUAAAUGAGUCACUCAUUCUUCUAUAAGACUUACCCCUUUCCAAUGCAUGCUGGGCUACCAACCCCCGAUGUUCUCUUGGACAGGAGAACCAUCUACAGCUCCAUUGGUGGAUGAUUGGAUCAGGAGAAGUGAGACAGUGUGGAAUAGUGUACAUGUCCAGGUUGCAGUGAGCAGUUCAAGCCUAACGCAUCCAUACAGAAACGUCCCCACCACAAAUUUCAGCCUGGACAGAGGGUCUGGUUGUCCACAAGGGAUUUCAAACUACAGCUGCCCUGCAGGAAGCUCAGCCCAAGGCAGGCCCACUUGACAUCUGGCCCCAGGACCAUGGAUCCUGCGCCUCCGCCUCCGUUGGAAGUUGAUGGAGCACCAGCAUAUAUGGCCAAGAAGAUCAUGGACUCUAGACGAAGAAGGGGCCAGAUGCAAUACUUGGUGGCUUGGGAAAGCUAUGGACCAGAGGAGAGAUCGUGGGUAGACGCCAAGGACAUUCGGGACUCGUCCCUGAUCCAAGAGUACCACCAAGUGCACCCCGACCAAGGGGUCGUCCAUAUCAUAGAACACCAGGGGGCAUUAGUAGGGGGUUCUGCAAUGAAUGAGGUUGCCCCUCAUUCAUCCAUUCACCCACCAGAGGGAGCCCUUACCCAAAUACUGAUCAUGGACUUGUGCUUCCCUACUAACUUCCUGUUUGUCACUAUAUUUAACAUGCCAUUUCCAUUACAUAGGCGCGAAGUAUUGUUAGUUUACCCUGCCUUACUGAGCGGUUUUCCAUUGCCUUCUUUUGUUUGCUUCAUGUUAUCAGUGCCUGUUUCAUUGGAAUGACUGAUUUUUGGAUUAUCCCUUGUUUUGUUUGCCUGGUUGGAC